UACGGGGGGGGCAAGCGUUGUUCGGAAUUACUGGGCGUAAAGGGUUUGUAGGUGGCUUGCUAAGUCAGACGUGAAAUCCCUCAGCUUAACUGGGGAACUGCGUCUGAGACUGGCAAGCUUGAGUGCAGGAGAGGAACGCGGAAUUCCAGGUGUAGCGGUGAAAUGCGUAGAUAUCUGGAGGAACACCGGUGGCGAAGGCGGCGAUCUGGGUAGAUACUGACGCUGAGGUGCGAAAGCGUGGGGAGCAAACAGG
rnacentral:rRNA from 1 species